GACGAACGCUGGCGGCAUGCCUAACACAUGCAAGUCGAGCGAGUUGAUUUCUUCGGAAUGAAGCUAGCGGCGGACGGGUGAGUAACACGUGGGCAACCUGCCUCAUAGAGGGGAAUAGCCUUCCGAAAGGAAGAUUAAUACCGCAUAAGAUUGUAGUACCGCAUGGUAUAGCAAUUAAAGGAGUAAUCCGCUAUGAGAUGGGCCCGGGGCUCAUUAGCUAGUUGGUGAGGUAACGGCUCACCAAGGCGACGAUGCGUAGCCGACCUGAGAGGGUGAUCGGCCACAUUGGGACUGAGACACGGCCCAGACUCCUACGGGAGGCAGCAGUGGGGAAUAUUGAACAAUGGGGGAAACCCUGAUGCAGCAAUGCCGCGUGAGUGAUGACGGCCUUCGGGUUGUAAAGCUCUGUCUUCGGGGACGAUAAUGACGGUACCCGAGGAGGAAGCCACGGCUAACUACGUGCCAGCAGCCGCCGUAA
rnacentral:rRNA from 1 species